UGAGUAACGCGUGGGUAACCUGCCUUAUACAGGGGGAUAACAGUCAGAAAUGGCUGCUAAUACCGCAUAAGCGCACAGAGCUGCAUGGCUCAGUGUGAAAAACUCCGGUGGUAUAAGAUGGACCCGCGUUGGAUUAGCUAGUUGGUGGGGUAACGGCCCACCAAGGCGACGAUCAGUAGCCGGCUUGAGAGAGUGAACGGCCACAUUGGGACUGAGACACGGCCCAAACUCCUACGGGAGGCAGCAUG
rnacentral:rRNA from 1 species